rnacentral:snRNA from 1 species
GGCUGUGAGGGCGAUCUGGCUGCGACAUCUGUCACCCCAUUGAUCGCCAGGGUUGAUUCGGCUGAUCUGGCUGGCUAGGCGGGUGUCCCCUUCCUCCCUCACCGCUCCAUGUGCGUCCCUCCCGAAGCUGCGCGCUCGGUCGAAGAGGACGACCUUCCCCGAUAGAGGAGGACCGUUCUUCGGUCAAGGGUAUACGAGUAGCUGCGCUCCCCUGCUAGAACCUCCAAACAAGCUCUCAAAAUAUUAAUAUGAACAUUAAAUGGGUUAAUAAAUGUAAGAUGUCCAGCAUGGUGCCUGGCAUAGAAAAUGCUGAAUAAACCUGAAUUGCGUCCCUCCUUC